GACAGUUAACAAAUUCAUUUCUUCCAAAAUUAAAGAAAAGCAAGAGAGAGAUGUCAUUUUUCCCCCUUCAGUUUCACUUACUUAACUAGCAAAUGCAACUAGCUAGUUUAGCCUACUAAAGCACCCUGCUCAAACAGGGGGAUGCUAUGUUAGCUAGCUGGCUAUAACAGAGGGAUGCUAUGUUUGCUAGCUGGCUAUAACAGGGGGAUGCUAUGUUGGCUAGCUGGCUAUAACAGGGGGAUGCUAUGUUGGCUAGCUGGCUAUAACAGAGGGAUGCUAUGUUAGCUAGCUGGCUAUAACAGAGGGAUGCUAUGUUGGCUAGCUAGCUGGCUAUAACAGGGGGAUGCUAUGUUGCUGCUGGCUAUAACAGAGGGUGCUAUGUUUGCUAGCUGGCUAUAAACAGAGGAUU
rnacentral:lncRNA from 1 species